ensembl:lncRNA
AUGGUGCUGGAGGGCUACUCAAAGGAGCUCCCUGGCGCCCCGAGCGGCCACUUCUUCCGCUCUGUGGCCAGCAGCUCUUCCGACGGACAAGGGAAAUUGGGUGCAGGAGAAAGUCCUGCGAAGGAGGCAGGGAUCCCACCCCUUCAAGGCCUGGAGAAGUGCUUGAAAGAGAUCCCGCUGGGUGGGGUUUCUUGCCCAAACGCCGUUCUUACGGGAAGUGACUUCUCUGCCCAGAAGCCCAGGAGGAUGGAGGCGUCUUUGCAGAGGCUGUGGGACAGAGGCGGCGCCACAAACAGCAUCCUGCCACGUCCCACGAGCUCCUCUGGCUCCGUGGCAGCGGAGGCCGCGGUGGAAGCUUCUCCCCUCGACCGACUGAUGAGUUGCCUGAAGGAGAUCCCCAUUCAGAGGCCGAGUUACCUGAACACGCCCAGCGUCUCCUCGUCCGCCUCCAGCUGCAGCGAGAGCGAGCGCCAGAGCCCCGGGUGCAGCCUCUGGUGGGACUGCGCUCAAGACACAGGAUCGGAGAUGGAAGGGACUUUGCGGCAGAAGGGGAUGGAGUCCAGGCUGCAGAGCGCGUUGCUUGCUCCCGAGGAGGAAAGGGGGCUUCCUUCUGCCCGAGAACCAGAGCUUGUCACCAUGGGCAGCCGAGCGCCAUCGGCCUCCCCUCUCGGUGGCCUGGAGAGAUGCUUAGACAGCAUCGCCAUGAGCCAGCCUCUCCCCUCCAACAUCCCACCUGGUGAUGCCAAGAGUCCGGGCGAUGUGGUACCCAGGAGAUCCCGGCAAGGGGUGGUUGGAUCACAUCCCACAAAUCCUCCAGCAGAUGACAACCUCUCCCACGACCCACAGAUUGGUCCGAAAGAUCCAGCGGCAGCCAGUACCCCGAGUCCUCCCAGCACACCAGCCCAGGACUCCUUCGGUGGAACGCCUGAGAGGAACGUGGAAGGCCGUGUUCAGCAUCCCCAGGCGGAAGCUGCGAGGAAACGGACACCGAGCAGCUCCUGCCUCCAAGGCCUGGCGAAUCUCCUGGCUGAAAGGCCCGCCAACCCUCCUUGUCGCUUCCAUCCGCUCCCCAGCAAGGCCCAGGGCAGCUCGGAGCAAAGGGAAGCGCAGGCGAGCGUCUCUUCGGCCGAGGAAGAGCUUCCAACAGGUCAGAGGAGCCGCCUGAAGGAAAGGUCGAUGGGCAGCGACGGCCCGGCCACCACGCCCUUGAGCAGUCCACAGAGAGUGGCUGGGCACAGGAGCCCGACCCCCGAGGCUGGCAGGGGGCACCAAGGAUCCGCCCCCUCAAGCGCUCUGGCCUGGGGCAGCUGCCCCAAGCGGAACGGGCGGCAUUUCUGCCUCUCCAAGUUCGGUGCUCAGAGGCCGAGCAAUUCCAGCUCCCCCAAGAGUGGGGUGAAAAGGUCGCUGGGGGCAGCACAGGGAGGUGAGGACCAAACUCCGGGCACCUCGUCCCACAGCUGCAAACUGCAAGGCGAUGCCGAGUCAGGAAAUCUGUGCAAGAAAAGGUGUCUCAGUGUCGACCCGAAUCCGGUCCUCUGCACCUGGGGGAACGGGAAUCCUCAGGAACGCCGCCCUGAGGUUGAAGACGGCAUAGGUCCGGCGCUGUCGAAGAAGCUGGACCGCCUUUCUGCGGACAUGAGCGCCGUCUGCCGGGACGUCUCCCGCCUGCAGAGCCACGUGGACCGCUUGGAGCAGGAUGCCCGGGGCUGGGUCCUGGAGCUGGCGGCGCUGCGCAUGGAGAACCACAGCCUGAGCGAGUGCGUGCGGCGCAUGGAGGGGCGCUUCCGCGCUCUGGAGAACCGCUCCCGCCGCAACAACCUGCGCGUCCUCGGCCUGCCGGAGGGGAGCGAAGGCAGUGACCCGGUCGCCUUCUUGCAGAAGACUCUGCCCACCCUGCUGGGCCUGCCCCUGGAAGCCCCGCCCCUGGAGAUCGAGAGCGCCCGCCGGGUGCAAGGGGGCGCCUCCUGGGACCCCAGCGGCAGGCCCCGGCCCCUGGUGCUCCAGCUCCUGCGCUCAGGAGACAGGGCGGCCAUUUUGCAGGCGGCCCGCGGGAGGCCCCUCAGCUACUCCGGCGCGCAGAUCACCAUCUUGCCGGACUUCUGCUCCUCGCUUUCACAACGCAGGAGGGUUCCCUUUGGGACGUUCCGGAGGACCCGGUGGGCGGCGGACCUCUGCUUUGGCUCCCGGCACCCCUCCUGCUGCUAUGCCUGGGCACCGGGCCUACGGGAGCCUCUGGCUGGCUCGGGGGCCCUGAGGGGCGAGAGAGAAAGCCGGCUUCCCAGAGGGGUGGGGAACUGGGGCACGGAAACCUUACCCGGCCCGGGGCAUCGUGGGGGGUGCCACUCCACAGGGAGCUGCGAGCAGCACAAUGACAACCCCUGACACGGUUCUUGGCAGAGGGUGGCAGCGGUUGGCUUGCUCCUCUUGCUCUUUGCCCUGGGCGGGGCCUGUCCUCAGGCGGCGGACGCUGCAGGGGCAGGCGGCAAACUAUUGGUGGCCGUGCAUCUUGCCCUUCACCCCUCCAGCUGGUCAGGCUCGGCUGCCAGCCCAGUUGGCUGCUGUGGGCGCCAUUUUGCUUCCGGGGUCCUUCCCCACAUUCCUGCCCCUGCUUCUUCGUCAUUUCUCUGGAGCUGCUUGGCAAAAUCUUUUGGAUGCCAUUUGAGCUUAGGUCCUCCGUCUUGAGGGUGCCCCGUCGUCGUUUCUCAGGCUGAGAAUGCCCCCCCUUAAAUGCACCAUCCAUCCAAGUUACAACAGCCCAGAGACUGGGGUUUGGGGGGGCACCCCCUUGCCGUGGGGGCCAAGCUCUCUUCCUCUUAAGGCUCAGUGAAGCCCUUUCUUUGUGUUUAUAUUCAGGCCUCGGCUGGCUGGCGACAAUUCAGGGUCAACGUGUGUUUUUAAAACGUGUUGCUUUUAUAUUUUUCAAAGAAUCAAUAUUUUAUAUGGGUAUUUUGCUUCUAGGUGUGGCUGUUAACAUGCCCGCCCAGAGCCUUUGUGGAGAGGGGUGGCUAUAAAUAUGAAUAUUAAAGAAAUGAACUUGAAUAAUAAAGAAAUGAAGUUGGGGAAAUAUCUGUGCCUCUUGGAAGGGUUAUUUUCGAGGGCGUGUGCAGCUUCUGGGCAGCUCGUAGGUGUUUGUUUGAUUGUUGAAAUAUUUUAUUUAUUUUCAUCAUUAAAAAAUUUACAUGCAAACAGUUUGUGUAACCAUUUUGUGAGAUUCUCUGAAUGAAAAUUGUGGAGAAUGUCCUGAUACGUAGUUUUAAGUUCUGUUUUAAGGAGCCAGUUAGAGGAUGGGGGGCAGUCACGAGGUUCAUAGGUGUUUUGGGUCAGGUGUGGGGAACCUUUGGCCCUCCAGAUGUUUCUGAACUACAACUCCCAUCAGGCCUGGCAAGUGGGGAUAAUGGGAGCUGUAGUUCAGCAACAUCUGGAGGGCCAAAGAUUCCCCCCACAGAGAACUUCUCUUCCUGGGCGUUCCACUUGAUUUCAGCUGAGAACUAAUUCCAGGGGACUGAAGCAGCAACACUAGAAGCCCGAUUUCUAGUAGCACCAUAGAAUUUUAGAGUUGGAAGGGACCUCAAGGGUCAUCUAUCCCAACCCCUGCAAUGCAGGAACCCCACCUAAACGAAGGGCAUGAGCUGCCCUCAGCUGCGCCCUCUCCGAGCAGCGCAGUUGAUGGGCACCGAUAGAGGAAAUGAGCAGUGACUCCGGUAGAGGCGUCAACCUUUUCGCCUGAUUCUUCCGCCUCAAACCUCAGCUUCCUAUUACAGCAGGCCAAACCAAAAGACAAUAAAAAACCCCUCACAUGGGACAGAGUUGCUCCCCGAUCCCCAACCCUGGAAUUCUGACAGCCCCCUUUGCUUACUGAAUCUCUGCAUCCUGUCUGAAGUUUGUUAAAAGUGCAGGACGAUUGCCAAGGAAAAUGUGUUGGCAGCCAGUCCCGGGAUCUUCUCCGCAGGCACCCAGUUCCCCCAAGUGGAACUAAAGUGGUUUUCUGCUGGUCUUCAGCCUCAAGUGCCGUGAAGUAAUAGGAGCAGACACAGACCCCCCUCUCUGCCUGUUGUGCCAGGCAAUUUCCUGGCUUGGAUACAUCAUUGGAGAGGCGUUUUGGACACCCUUGUGUUCCCCUGAAGCAGUCCUGCAAACCGGAGAUCACCUCCAUGGUGCUGUUUGUGGGGGGAAACGGAACCCCAGAAUUUCCAGCUCCACCAGGCAAAGAUCACCCCAACAGAUGAUUGGGCUACGCCAUCUUGAUGGAUACAAAUGACAAGAGUUCUUCAGAAAAACCUUACUGCUUCAUCUUAGGCCACAUUCACACCAUAUGUUUAAAGUUCUAGGAUACACCUUUAAACGGUCAUAAGAGCAUAAGGAUCAGGGCUGCAAGAACACCCAAAAAAAAAAAGAAUGGCAAGGCAAAUUAUUUAGUUAUAUUGAAUUGGCUGAAUUGACAGAGUCUAUUGGGGGUCAGCCCAAGCAAAAAUUCUAAAAAGAAUGGGGAAAAUAUAGCGAAUACCUUAAAAAGCAGUGCCCUCAAAUUAAUACUUGGACUUGUUUCGAUUAACUUCUGCAAAACAAUUAUGGCGUAAAAGUUAAAAACAUAAGAAAGGGGUAAGAAAGAAAAUGGAAAUGGUUUACCAAAAAUACAAAUAGAACCGUGCUGAGGAUGAAGGAAAUCAAUUGGAAGAAAGAAGAACUGAAAUGUGGUAUAUACAUAUUGUUUAUUAUUCGUUUUGUAUAAGUUUCUGUAUAUUACUUUGAUAAUUGUUUUUUCAUUUUCAGUUUUUUGUUUUUCUUUAUUUGUUUUUUAUUAUUUUUAUGUUUAGUUGCAUGAGUGUGUGCGUUUGUGUUGUAAAAUAAAAUUUAAUAAAAAAUU